AAACUAAGGAUUAUCUUGCUAGGCAUGGGUUAAGAAAUGCUGUCUAUUCCAUUGAUGCUGCAGAUGCAAUAGAUGGGUUGUUUGAUGAUCUGGUUCUCCGCCCUUUUCAGGUGAUCUAUAAGUAGCUGUAUGAUAUAAGCAGCUUUGAUUGGCAAUUUGGCAAGACAAAGCCAGAAUCUUGCAUAGUUUAGCAAACAUUGACUUCUAAGCAGAGCUUAAAAGUUUCAGGAAUCUACUGACAGCAACAAUACCAAACUUGGUUACUCCACCACAAUGAGGAUUUCGAAGUUCUAACCAACACAUCAUUCAUAGAUAAAGAUAAUGAGAUACACUAUUACUUCUUAGCUUGAUCUCCCAUGGCCUCUGUUUUCGUAAUCAUAAAUGUGCAGCCUGAGAAUAAGUAUACAAAAGAAUUUGCUAUAAAUGAAUGGUACUCUAUACUUGAAGUCUUUUGUAUAUUUGCUAAUGAAUGUUUGAUGAUUGAAAAGGUGAUCUAUUAUAUAAUAUCCAUAUCUGAAACUA